GAUGAACGCUAGCUACAGGCUUAACACAUGCAAGUCGAGGGGAAACGAUUAGAGAAAGCUUGCUUUUUCUAGGCGUUCGACCGGNGCACGGGUGAGUAACGCGUAUCCAACCUGCCCACCACUUGGGGAUAACCUUGCGAAAGUAAGACUAAUACCCCAAUGACGUCUCUAGAAGACAUCUGAAAGAGAUUAAAGAUUUAUCGGUGUACGAUGGGGAUGCGUUCCAUUAGGUAGUAGGCGGGGGUAACGGCCCACCUAGCCUACGAUGGAUAGGGGUUCUGAGAGGAAGGUCCCCCACAUUGGAACUGAGACACGGGUCCAAACUCCUACGGGAGGCAGCAGUGAGGAAUAUUGGUCAAUGGACGAGAGUCUGAACCAGCCAAGUAGCGUGAAGGAUGAAGGUCCUACGGAUUGUAAACUUCUUUUAUAAGGGAAUAAAACCUCCCACGUGUGGGAGCUUGUAUGUACCUUAUGAAUAAGCAUCGGCUAACUCCGUG
rnacentral:rRNA from 1 species